GGAUGUGAGGGCGAUCUGGCUGCGACAUCUGUCACCCCACUGAUGGCCAGGGUUGAUUCGGCUGAUCUGGCUGGCGAAGCGGGUGUCCCCUUCCUCCCUCACCGCUCCAUGUGUGUCCCUCCCAAAGCUGCACGCUCAGUCGAAGAGGAUGGCCUUCCCUGAAUAGACGGUAUACAAGUAGCUGUGCUCCCCCGCUAGAACCUCCAAACAAGUCCUCAAGAUAAAGUUUAAAAAAUAAAAAAGGAGCCGGGCAGUAGAGCAGCAGGUUAAGCGCAUGUGGCGCAAAGCGU
rnacentral:snRNA from 1 species